GCUCGAGCGGCGGACGGGUGAGUAAUGCAUAGGAAUCUGCCCGAUAGUGGGGGAUAACCUGGGGAAACUCAGGCUAAUACCGCAUACGUCCUACGGGAGAAAGCAGGGGAUCUUCGGACCUUGCGCUAUCGGAUGAGCCUAUGUCGGAUUAGCUAGUUGGUGAGGUAACGGCUCACCAAGGCGACGAUCCGUAGCUGGUCUGAGAGGAUGAUCAGCCACACUGGGACUGAGACACGGCCCAGACUCCUACGGGAGGCAGCAGUGGGGAAUAUUGGACAAUGGGGGAAACCCUGAUCCAGCCAUGCCGCGUGUGUGAAGAAGGCCUUCGGGUUGUAAAGCACUUUCAGCGAGGAA
rnacentral:rRNA from 1 species